UGUAAAAGAAAAAGAUGGGUAAGAAAAAUAUCGAGACCUCUAGAAAUGGGGAGUCCUUCUUUCUCUAGAAUCUUCUUUCCCUUUUUUUGAGGCCUCUCGACUUCACUUGCUAGAGGGAAGGAACUACGGCCGGGAAAAAUGGCAAUCAACGAGCUCUAGUCGUAGACUCCCUUCCUACUUUCUCCUCUCAGCUCUCUCUCUUUCUCCCUCUCUCUCACACACACAAAAAAACAUACAUAGAGCAAUCCCACUUCACUGUGAAUCGGCCCCUCCACUGACUGCCGAACAACCGACUUUCUCUGCUGUCCUAGCAGGUUAACGGAUAUCAGCUGCCCUUGCAUCUCCUUCUUUCACUCAUCUCUGCACCCCUUUCUUCUCUCAUUUCGAUACUCUCCCUGAGCGAUGAUAUGUGAAAUAACGGAUAUGCAACGGCGGAUCUAGGUGGGGUGAAAGAGUUUUGCAUAAGUUUUCUGUGAAAUGGGCUCCUAAACUGUGCCUUCCUCCUUUUUUUUAUUUAUUUUUAUUUUUUAA